GGAUUUAUUUUAUUCAUUCUGGGGGCUUUCACAGCUUUAUGGCUGUUGGAUAUUUAUGUCCCCAAACUUGCAGCAAGUUUGGUGAAGGCCCCUACAUUUAUUUUAAUUUAGGUUUUUUAUUCUCUUUUGGUAGAUGGGCUCUAUAUUAAUAUUUAUCUUUUUAUUAUCAUGUUUUUAAGAGUCUUAGGGGGAGGGAACGUGUUUUAAGAUGUUCGGGUACCUUUUCUCUUAAUGGAAUGCUUUUCCUUCAAGGCUGCUCAGGUAGUCCUUCAGCCACACUGCCCCCUCCCCCUCUUCCCCUGCAUUGCAUUUGUGCUGUAUUUGUUCUUGGUUUUGGCAAUAUGACUUUGUGUAGUCUCUGAAAUAGUGGCAUGUAAAUAUUAAUUGCUAAUGUUUCCUCUUCUGGGGAGAUGUGUCUACUGAAGUGCUUAAAAUACUUAGGUUUUAACUAGUAAGUGACAUUUACAGUCACAAAAUUGUGUAGCCUAAAUUAUAGAAUACAGUUUCCUUGGAGGAGAUUAAGAUGUUAAUACUGCUGCAUAUGUGAGCUGCACCACAACAAAUAUUAAUGUAGAGCCCUAUGAUGAAGUAGAGAUUCAAGUUGGUAAAGUAGCAUAGAGGAGUGAGAAAUUGAAGAUGCAGAUUUUUCAGUUUAUCAGUUUCAGGGAAAACCUUUUUGUCAACCGCUCAAAUACACCAAAUUUGACAGUAUUUUGUCUAUUGCAACAAUACUGAAAGUCAUAGCACUUUUUUUGAAACCUUGUGGAAUUAUGUUGCAUAUCCAAAAUUUGCUUAGGUAUAUAGUUAUUUAAAGUUCCUUCUUUCACGUAGUGACUAGCAAAAAAUUUUACCCUUUGAAGAAGAAUGAGCUUUAGUGUUGCUGCUCACUGUGUUGCAGGUAUAUUGGCUUUGAAUGCUUGAGGUUGCUUAAAGGCAGCUUCAGAAGAACAGGUUUUGUCCGAGGAGGUCUUGCAGCUUAUCAGCAGUGAAAUAGAAAAUUAACAAAUGUUAGAGUCAGGUUUUAUAGCUUUUUUAAAUUUUUGAGAUAUUUUUAAAUUCUGUGGUGUUUUUUGAUGAGUGUAGACUGUAUUUCAUGUCUUUAAGAUACUGCUAAAUAAUGACCGCCAAUGUGAAUUCCAGUUAAUUAAAGGAUAAAGUUGUAAUUGACUUAGUUACAAGAGUGGAUUUCACAUUCCUGUUGUACUCUGCUUUUUUCCUGUAAAAGUCCCCCCAAGUCGUCUAGUCUGACUGGAAAAUGGACGUGUCCUCUGUUAACUGUUUAGAAGUGAUUAAGGAGCAUGGCGUUGCUUUUUGAAUUAUCAUUGUGGUGCUACCCUUGAUAACACUGAAGAUGAGAACAACACUUCAAGAUACACUACUGCAGCUAGCGUUUGUUUCACAUAUUCAGUCUGUAGGAGCGUCGGGCUUAGUUCUUAUUUCCCUACAAUAUCUAAGGAAACGGUUUAACCAAAAAUAACAUGCAGUAUGGCUUGUACUUCCUGUUUUAAGUAUCUGAAUCUCUUAGAGACUCGAAAAAUAGGCAAAUUUCGAAUGCCUGAUACUGAACUUUGUUAUCAGUUUCCAUUUAAGACGAAUGCAGCACUAGGUAGUUUUAAUCCAGCUAUUCCUAUUCAGCUUGUCAUCAAACACACAAAGCUAAAAUUCACAUACCAAUGCUGUCUAGUGUCCAAUGGAGUAUCCUACUUAGAUCCACACUUGGGUUAUAUCUUAUAAAUUGAUACCCUGGUGAGAGCUAAAAGUUUUUGAUUUUGGAGAGAUUGCUUUGAUCUGUUUUUGUUGAAGAUAACUGUGGUUGACUUGUUCAUGGAAAAAAUGUCUCCAAAAUGCAGUUUCUGUUUGCCCUGUGUCAUUGUUUUAGCUCUGUCUACUAAUACUUACCUACUUCUGAAAGAUGCAUUUGACAUGAAGACAAUUCAUGGGGUGUUACUGUAUGAAUUAAAGGGGGUUUUGACUCUGGGUUUUCCUGCUGCACUGCAAAUACUGUUUGUAAUUUCUGGUGGGUAGUUCACACAUCCUUUACUUCCACCCUUGACAUUCUUGUCCUUUCUGUAAGUCUCUAAAGGACUGGACAGGACAGGUCUUUUUUGUUCCCUCUUUGGAGUCGGUAGCUUUAGCAGAUGAUGUUCGUGUUACUCUGAUUUGUUACCGCAGACUAAUGUUUGUUCUUAAAUUUGCAGCAAGUAACAAUGUACAUUUUUCAUUUGCUUUCUGUUUUAUCCUAAAAGAUACAUGUGCAAGUGCAAGGUGGCUCUGUGCUUUUUGCUGGGAGUAUCUCCUCAGCUAUUAGACCAGCUGGCCUGUCAUCUCUUUAAAACAAUUUGAAAAAUUCUCAUCUAGUGCAAGUGGUUCAUAUUUUGCUCUUUUUUCUGAAGUUCUGUUAGUGACAUUUUCCUCCCUGCCUCCUUGUGUGGAUCUAAGUGGGAUAGUUAAAAAAAAAAAUUACACUGUUAAUGAGAUCAGUGUGUUUUUACUGACAUUCCAGUAUUGCAGCUGUCAGUAUUGCAGCAGUCUGUGUAUCCCGAAGUUGUGCAUUUCAAUGUGGAAUGUCUUUUCUAAUUAUAGUAUUUUAGUGGCUUGACUUUCAUAGAUACUAAUGGAAGUAGGUCUUGGGGAGUUUGUUGGGUUUUUUGAGUUUAAGUAGACGUACGUGACUUUUUUUAAAGGGCAAGAAUUACUGAUACUCUGCUAAAUCAGGUGAAUUUGCACCCAUUGUUUUUAACAAGAGUAAAUGGGAGAUGUGGCAAAUAAAGUACGUACCACGCAUGAAGUUUUGGCUUGCUUUAGGAUUGUGUGACGAGUUAAUAAUGUGUUCUGUGCCUUGCCUAAUAAAGAUUGUAGCCCUUAAAUGCUCUGAGGAAUAGGCUACCUCCAGAAGAAUUUUUUUUUUUUAAAUGUCUAUACUUCCAAUCAAAAUAAUCAGACCAAUGAAACAAUGGUAGUGACUGGGUUCUAUAAAAAUGCAGCUAUCAGUGACUACCAUAUCUUCCUGUAAUAGUUGGGGUAGGUAGAUACUAGUUUAGAGUAAGAAAAGUUUUGAGGCAGCCUUUGAAGGAAUCAAGAUAGAAUUGAAGUGAUUCUGAAGUUUAAUAACAUUCUGAAUGUGUAUAACAUUCUUUUUGAAGUUCUGAAAAAGCUUUGUGAAGAGUUUUCUUACACACCGUGAAGAGCAGCUUUAUGCAGUCUUGAUUGUCAGAGUGUGGAUUCUCAUUGAGAGGCUCUACUAGAAGAAAAUGCUGUUAGAGCACAAUAUUUGUAGGUUUUGUUGUAUAGUGAAUAAACACUUACUUUUGUCUUGUGAAGGGCUAUCUGAGGGAGCCAGGCAGCUUGCUGCUUUGGCAGACAGCCCUAUCUUGUCUCGAACCACAGGAAUCCAGGAUGUUAUCUUCAGUCGUUUGUUCUUAGCAGCCUCAUGAGUCAGUAUGGCCUGUCCAUGGUAUGAACUGUCGGUGAGGAUUGGUAUUUAUACAGCGGAUCACUUGCUUGCACCUUCUGAGCAAGUUUACAAUAACUUGUUUUAUUCUUAGGGGCUUUCUUGCAAUGGGAACAAUCAGCAACACUGCUGUAUUAAUGACGAUGAAUUUAACUUCUCCAUAAAUAUUGUCUUGAACUUACCUUAAGGAUUUCUUUCUCGGGGAUUUAAAGAAGUUAAAAGUUUUGAGAAAAUAGUAGAAUUUUAAUGCCAGUAUCAUCUUAACUAAAAACAAGCAAGCACACAACUUUGAGAGCUUGAAAGCUUCCUUAAAAAUUACCUUGUUAGGAGUUAAAGCAUAUCUUUCUGUUAGCUAACUGUCUUAUGCCAGAUUCAAACUUCUGACAUCUCAAACUUUAUUUCUUAAAUUUUGGCUAAAUCUUAACCACGUUCCCAAGUGCUGUUCAGAAAGGGCGUAUGUGUAGAAUUUCAACUUCCACUGCCCUUAGUAGCCAAUAUGUAUAAAUGGUCUUCGCUAAGAGCAGCUUUGAAUUCCCAGAAAUUAAUGCCAUACAAACCAAGGAAGCUAUUUCACUGUCUCCCAACUUAGGAAAUUACACAAUGCUUUAAAAUAUGUCAUGCAGAGCUUUUUUUCUUUUUCUUUUUUUCAUGGAGUUACUCACAUAACAUUACUUGCACUGAAUUCUUUAGCUUCUUUCCCGUAAAUUAUAGUGGAAGAGAAUACAUUUUGCUCUUUCAUUUGUAAAGUCUAGAAUAAGAAAACACACUUUAUGAGACUGUUUAAUGAAGGAACCUGCUGAUGUAAGUAUUGUAAUUUUCUUUAUGUUUGUGGUAGGCAACAGGAUUACCUUGUUAAACUUCGGGCUUAUGUAUGAAAAGUAACAGAAAAGUAAGGGCAAACUGAAAGUAGUUUAUAGUUGCCUUUACUUCAUAUGCUUUUCUUAAGCAACAAAUUGCAGUAAUUGAAGUUGGGCAGCUUUUUUAAUGAAAAACUAAAUUAUGGGUUAAACUCUUUGGUUUAAUACAAUUUGUGUUUCUAUUAACUAGCAGCAGAAUUUCAGCAUUUGCUACUUACUGGUAGAGAAGAAAAAUUCCACAGCACUGCCAGUACAGCAGGACGCUGGAGAGAUGAGGUAGCUUUGAAGAUGCGUGUCCUUGCAACUCCUGUCUACAGGAUGAGAAUGGAUUACUCUGCUAGGCCGUUUUUGGCUGUGUCUAGAUCUUGACUGAAGUUGGAAAAGCAAAUCAUACCUUGCUACUGUUAGAACAUCUUCAGGUGCAGAAGUUCUUUUCUCUUGCGGAGUAAAAUGUGGAUUUGGCCUCCCUUCAUACCUAUGCCUUUGAGGAAAGAUUCAUCCAGUUCCAUUAGCGCCGGACCUGUCACUUCUUCCGCAUGUAGUUUUUCUACAUACUCUUGCUUGAUUCCAGUAGAUUCUAGCCAGCAUUGGACGUGGUUUUCAUCCCAUUUGUUCACAGGUGUCUGUAGCCCAGCCAGCUCCGUCCCUGCAGCUCGUGGUAGUAUGACGGCAACACUCGCAGCCUCUGAAUUCAAGAGUAAAAGGAGCAGUCAGCAGUGUAGCCAGCAUAAAAGGCAGUUGUGGGGCUCCGCACAAGCUCCCCACAAUGUCUGAAAGUACAAAGGUUGUAAUAGAGGGAGCACGAGGAGCGCUCCCCAGGACCGUGCUUGGCAAAAGGACUCAUCCUGGCUCCGCAACUGGCGACUUGUCUUUAUAAGAACGUAAGGAACACUUGCAGUAGAGAAAUCGGUAGCCUCUGGCCAGCAGCUCAGAGCUGACACCGGUGUAUUUUCCUGAAGUUAUUUG